AGACACACCAGAAGAGGGCAUCAAAUCCCAUUACAGAUGGUUGAGAGGCACCAUGUGGUUGCUGGUUGUUGUUCAGGACCUCUGGAAAAGCAGUCAGUGCUCUUAACCGCUGAGCCAUCUCUCCAGCCCAGACCAUGAGUGUUUUAUGUCCCAAUCUUACACCUAAUUAUCAUCACUUUGACAGUUGAUCUGAAUAAGCCACUGAGAAAGAGCAGUCCACAUGGGAUGGAAAUUAAGCUGUGACUUUCAUAGGGGAAAACAUCAAAGGUUUGGGAUAUCUAAAUGUUGAAAGAUGGUGUUUUGCUUGAUUAAUGUUUUGUUUUGUUUGUUUUGAGAUAGUAUCUAUGUAGUCUAGGAUAGCCACAAACUCGAUCUAUAGCUGUACAUGACCUUGACCUUUUGAUCUUCCUGCUUCUGCCUCCUGAGUGUUGAUGCAGGACUGUAUGUACCACCAUGCCCCACCAGUUUAUGCUGUGCUGGUGACCAUGAACCAGAGCUUCAUGCAUGUGAGGCAAGCACCCUACCAACUGGGCCACACCCCUCCUUGAUGUUCGUUGUACUUUUAAAUUAACUCUGAUACUUAGAGACACAGCAUAAUCAUACACACGCUUAUAUAUGAAUAUUCUUACUUUGUUUGUUUUUCAGACAGGGGUUUCUCUGUAUAGCCCUGGCUGACCUGGAACUCACUUUGUAAACCAGGCCAUUCUCAAACUCAGAUAGCUACCUGCCUCUGCCUCUGUGCCACCACUGACAGUAUACACGCGCGCGCGCGCACACGCGCACACACACACACACACACACACACACAAACACUAAUAAUGGAUGUUAUUUGUAGAUUAUUUAUCUUCUGCAUGUGCUUCUGGGAACUGUGGCCACUUUAUGCUCAGCAUCGGUGACGUGUGUGCUGUGAUGGUCAAGUGCUGAGUUAGGUUCAUGUGACUGGCAGUUGCAGGUUUUGCAAGAGUGUUGCAAGGAUCUUUCUCAUAUCACCCAAGGUGACUGCUUCUUCUAGGUCUCUGGACAUCACUGUAUGAACACCACCUCCAUCGACCUUCCUUCAUCCCUCUGUCUCCCCCCCCUUCUCUCUCUCACACACACACAUACUCUCUCUACAGUUGUUUUUCAGAUCUUCCCAAAACCAUUUUUUGUUUAUGUGAUUGUUUGGUUGUUUUGUUUCAUUUUGUUUUGAUACAGGGUAUCUCUGUGUAACCUUAGCUGUCCUGAAACUUACUCUGUAGACCAAGCUACCCUCCAAUUCAGAGAUCAACCUGCCUCUGCCUCCCAAGUGCUAGGAUUACAGGCAUGUGUCACCACCACCAGGUGGCAUGUGCUACCACCACCAGGUAUCCCAAGAUCUUUUAAAAGCAUACACAGCUUGUCUUCAAGCUGUCUUGUCUCCAAGGAUCAAUGUGGUUGCCGUGCAGUGCUCCAUACCCUUCCUGUAUGUCUGGUCAAUAAGAAUGAAAGAAGGGGACUAGAGAGAUUGCUCAGUGGUUAGGACUGCUCUUCCAGAGGUCCUGAGUUCAAUUCUCAGCAACCACAUGGUAGCUCACAACCAUCUGUAAUGGGAUCUUCUGAUGUGUCUGAAGACAGCUACAGCAUACUCACAUACAUAAAAUAAAUAAAUC
rnacentral:lncRNA from 1 species